AGCGAACGUUAGCGGCGCGCCUAACACAUGCAAGUCGCACGAGAAAGGGGGCAACCCCCGGUACAGUGGCGCACGGGUGAGUAACACGUGGGUGAUCUGCCCAGAAGAAGGGGAUAACCUCUCGAAAGGGGGGCUAAUACCGCAUAGGACCACCGGGGCUUUGGCUCUGUGGUGAAUGGGGGGCCUCUGUUUACAAGCUCCUGCUUCUGGAUGAGCCCGCGUCCCAUCAGCUAGUUGGUAGGGUAAUGGCCUACCAAGGCUACGACGGGUAGCUGGUCUAAGAGGAUGGCCAGCCACACUGGAACUGAGACACGGUCCAGACUCCUACGGGAGGCAGCAGUGGGGAAUCUUGCGCAAUGGGCGAAAGCCUGACGCAGCGACGCCGCGUGGGUGACGAAGGCCUUCGGGUUGUAAAGCCCUGUGGGGUAGAACGAACUGGCAUCGGGCUAAUAUCCCGGUGUCUUGACGGUACUGCCUUAGCAAGCAUCGGCUAACUCUGUGCCAGCCGCCGCGGUAAAAC
rnacentral:rRNA from 1 species